ACGCUCGACACCUACGGUAGGCAGCAGUGGGGAAUAUUGCACAAUGGGGGAAACCCUGAUGCAGCGACGCCGCGUGGAGGAAGAAGGUCUUCGGAUUGUAAACUCCUGUUGUUGGGGAAAAAGAGGAUGGUACCCAACAAGGAAGUGACGGCUAACUACGUGCCAGUAGCCGCGGUAAUCUGAGCGGGCUGGCAAGGC
rnacentral:rRNA from 1 species